rnacentral:rRNA from 1 species
UACGUAGGGGGCAAGCGUUAUCCGGAUUCACUGGGUGUAAAGGGAGCGUAGACGGCCAUGCAAGCCUGGAGUGAAAGCCCGGGGCCCAACCCCGGGACUGCUCUGGGAACUGUGCGGCUGGAGUGCGGGAGGGGCAGGCGGAAUUCCUGGUGUAGCGGUGAAAUGCGUAGUUAUCAGGAGGAACACCGGCGGCGAAGGCGGCCUGCUGGACCGCGACUGACGUUGAGGCUCGAAAGCGUGGGGAGCAAACAGG